AACAAGAGAAGACUUGUUUCCCACUCUUCACGCUCCUACUCUCACCCAUGUGUUCUCACUUACUUUAAAGCAGCUCUGCUUCACAGGUGUAGCGUGUCACCAAUUAGGAAAAUACCUUAAAUGGGAGACCUGGGAAGACAGGAGCUCUGACAUACGCUCCCUACAGCCUGCAUCGAUGGAGACGCUUCUGGAAGAGCUCCUUUCAGCUUCAAAACUUCUGAGUGAGUUUAAAGAGAUGUACAAUUACGAAAAUCGCUUAAAAACCUUUGCUAAUUGGCCUUUUGUGAAGAACUGCAAGUGCUCUCCAGAGAAUAUGGCAAAGGCGGGCUUUAUCCACUGCCAAAGUGCAAAUGAACCGGAUGUAGCAAAAUGUUUCUUUUGCUUGAUAGAACUGGAGGGCUGGGAGCCUAAUGAUGACCCACGGGAGGAACACGCCAAACGUCGUAGCUGUGGAUUUUUAUCUCUUACUAAGCAGUUUGAUGAUCUGACAAUGGAGGAGUAUUACAUGCUGGAGAUGACGCGGCUAAGAACCUUCCUUUGCAAAACCGGCAGAAGCGUAAUAAAUGCCUUUGAAGAAGAAGUUGCUGUGACUAGGAAGCGCCUCGUAGAUAACUUUGUCUCCAAACAUCGAUAUACGCCAUGGCCACCGGCGCCCACCCAAGCUGAUCUGACUUGCCAACCUUCUGAAAGCUCAUACGACGAGUCCAGAAGUUGAAUAUGACUCUGACACUUUUUUUCUCUUUAUAUGGUAAAAAUAUUUUUAUUCUGGUACGAAUACUAAUAUUAAGCUAAACAGCAGUUUGAGGAAGCGUGGAGAAUUUCUAAAUAGGCUCUCUAGAGCAGAAGUAGCAACCGAUUUAUUUCUCUCUUUUGCAAAAUUUUUUCUCAGGGCUAGACAUGGGCUAAUGCUAGUCCCAUUAACCUGUGAAUGUAUGAUAAAUAUGUAAGUGAAUACUUUUAUUUUGCUUUUCGUGGGGUGACUUUUGAAUAAAGAUGACUAAUGGUAAGUACCUGUUGCGAUCUACGCUUUAUUCGAGUCUUUGAGCCAGACGCUCGUUAAGGUCCUGAAUCAAAAUACUUUCUGUAGAACAAAAUGGAUCUGGGUGUCUGCAGUAAUUACUACUUAACAGUCUACUCUACUGUUAAAUUAUCUUCCUACACCAGUCUAAUUGACCUUGAAUAGCAAUGUGAAAAACUUACGCAAGCCAAGUUGUCAGACAUAAUAAAAAAGGAAAGUCACUAGGCUCGUAAGAUAAUCUUGAGCUGGAAAUGCUCAGGAGAUUUUGGUGUAUGCAGUGAAACGUUAAAAAAAAAAAAAAAAAAAAAAAAAAAAAAAAAAAAAAAACUCAAGGCCUAUCCUUAACUCAAGGCCUAUCCUUCUAUGUUAAUAAGUCUGCUCACUACACUUUUCUGGGAGGAGACGUGGCUAGUUUCUAGACUAACCGAAGGUAUAUUCCGUGUCUUAUUGUUACGUAUGUAAAAUCUAGGGUAAAGAAGGAGGAGAGGGUACAUUUGAAACAACAGCAUUUAUCUUACCGUGACUUUUACCUGGUGAACAGACUACCUCAGCAUGAACUUUCACAGUCUUACCACAUCCGUUUCUCUCCUCCGUCUCACUGAAGAAAGCCGGUGAGAGAUGAGGUACAGGAAAUGCUAUGCUAUUAUAUGACAAUCGGUAUUUAUGCCGGAUCUGAGUGAAAUUGAACAGAAAAACCGAGUCAAAGAAUGCCCCGGAACUUAUUUUGUGAGCAGCUUAUAAAUAUUCCAGCUACGUGACAGCAGUUACUAGACUGGAAUAACAAUGAGCGUGCGGUGUAUGUUAACUUAAUCCAGUACAACGCUAACUGGCCACUGGUGUUAUGGCUGCACCGGGGCAACUUAGGCUCGCAUGUAAAGGGCCGGGCUCUUUACAUGGAUUUAAGGGUCCAAGCAACUUUGAUUUAGCAAAUCCAUUCGCGAUGGAGCUUGCGUUCCUCAAAGGGCCUGGACUCUGAACCUCUCCAUGAUUUCUUAGCACUUAGUGCAGCAUUCUAGAUUCUAAUCUUAUUUUUCAAUUAAUAUAUGGGGGAAAUAGGUAUGUCAUGGUGAAAACACUAACGACUCUUUAGGAGCACAGCUAAAACAGUGCUAGUUCGGUAUCACUGAGAAAAUUAAGAAAUGCUAAUGAGUGAAGGUUGCAUCGAAAACUGUAAUGAGUUGCGCUACUGCCAAAAACUGUUUGCUUCUCCACGAGAAGCAGAGAUGCAGCAGUAAGCUUUGAGGUUAAGUGGGCCGGCUGGCUGGGGGAAACCAAGUUUCGGUCCCUGCUCUAAGAUAUAGAGCUUAGCUUUAGUCGAAAUACAUAGAACUCUUGGAGCAGGGAGCUCAAGUCAGGUCUUCUCUGCUUUUGGAAGAAACCUGAGUUGCAAGAGUAGGAGAAGCAAACGUCAAAUAGUUUUCUGAUGAUCUUGAGACAGCUACAUUCAUCAUUCAUUAUUUACAACGAGGGUGCUUGAAGUCAUUUUGUGCCCUCUUUCUCCUCCUUUCGUAGACAAAACUGCCCUUUGCCUGGUUGUGCGUUGGUGGGGAUAAACCGUACUGGUGAAAAAGAUGGCCUCUACCAGAGAAAAAUGCUUACUGAGACCCGUUAACUAGCACUUCUCAACAUUUCAGUGCUUUCACAGGAAAGUAUUAUUGUUGAAGCUGGAUGCUGAAAGAAAAUGCUUUUAUAAUGAGUAAGAGGCCUAACGCUUCUUCCAGAUCAAGAUGGUGACAGGCAAUGUAUAUACCGUUCAGGGUUCAGUAAUGGUGGUCCUAGUUGUGGUGCUACUAAUUGUUUAGAUUUUUUUUAAAUCAUUUAACUGAUGACCUGACAGUGUACAUCUUAUUUUUUUGAAUGAUGUUUAAGUGAAGAAAUUUCUGUUUAUUUCAGUUUGUCUCUUUGAAUGUGGUUAGUGGUCAAUACGUGGACCCUGAUUCUUUUCUUCUGUAAGUCAGCACCUUUACUUUAAAAUGGUGUAAUCUUAGUGUAGAUAAUAAAAUAGUCUCCUCGCC